UAAGGAAUAUUGGUCAAUGGAGGGAACUCUGAACCAGCCAUGCCGCGUGCAGGAAGACGGCUCUCUGGGUUGUAAACUGCUUUUAUUCGGGAAUAAACCACAUUACGUGUAGUGUGCUGAAUGUACCGAAGGAAUAAGGGUCGGCUAACUCCGUGCCAGCAGCCGCGGUAAUACGGAGGAUCCAAGUGUUAUCCGGAUUUAUUGGGUUUAAAGGGUGCGUAGGCGUCUUAUUAAGUCAGGGGUGAAAGACGGUGGCUCAACCAUCGCAGUGCCCUUGAUACCGAUGAGGUUGAAUGAACUGGAGGUAGGCGGAAUGUGAGAAGUGGCGGUGAAAUGCAUAGAUAUGUCACAGAACACCGAUUGCGAAGGCAGCUUACUAUGGUUUUAUUGACGCUGAGGCACGAAGGCGUGGGAAUCAAACA
rnacentral:rRNA from 1 species